UGUGGUUCUCACAGCGGUUCUGCUUCCAACUAGUGCAGUGGUUCAUAAACGUUAGCAUGUAUCAGACUCUCCUGGAAGGCUUGUUAAAACCUGAAUUGCGGGGGCCCAUCUCCAGAGUUUCUUACAAGAACAUACUUCAGUGUGGAAAAUGUAGAAAAUACAGAAUAAGUUUUUCUUGCCUCUAGGAAUCAGGGUCAAAGAAGGAAGGCAACCCAAAUUGGUGACUACAGCCAUGAAGUUAAAAGAUGCUUGCUCCUUGGAAGAAAAGCUAUGAUCAAUCUAGAUAGCCUAUUAAAAAGCAG
ensembl:lncRNA